UUUAGGCAGCUCACUGGGCUCCAGAGGGCCAAAAUCAUAGAGGAAGGCUACAAUUUGGUAACAUCUUUUUUUUUUUUCCAGUGUCUCCUUUCAGCUCCUUCUGUCAUUCUAAACACAGUUUUACUACCUUUGGCUUGCUGCUACCAGUGGUUCAUGCAUUCCCUGCCAUCGCUUCAGAGUCAAGCUAAUGCUUUCCAUCCUGCAGCACACAGAGACCAGGACAGCACUGCAUUUAUGAAAUGCUUCAUGAGCACAGCUAUCUAAACAAGCACUGCAAGCACAACAUCUGUUACCCAGCCCUACCUGCUGUUUUUAUGAUGCUGUCACUCACUCCCUGAUCUUACGGGAAGACAAGGAGACCCUCCUGUGAGCUUUGCCAAGUGUUCAUAAAGUUCCCGUCCUUGAAGUUUCAAGUCAUUCAAACAAUUCUUAAUUUGAUCUAUAACAAAUCCAGUUUUGGUUGGCAGGGCACAGCAAGUAUUCCCUGAGCUUUCCUGUUACCCAUGGGGCUGAAUUGAAAGAAAACCCACCAUCUGAGGAGUAGAAAAAAUGCAGAGCUUUUUUGGGGGGCAGUUGAGAGAGCAGGAUCUAUUCUGGGAGUAACUCAAUGUGAAAUUUGUUUACAGGACUCAGGGGAGAAACAAAAGUUAUAUGCUAUAAACCAAAAUAGGUCCUUUACCGUCUUUCUAAGUAGUAAGUACUUGAAGGCUCCCUUGGUGUGGAAACACAUA
rnacentral:lncRNA from 1 species